rnacentral:rRNA from 1 species
GAAAACCCACUGAACUGAAGCAUCUCAAUAAGUGGAGGAAAAUAAACUAACUAGGAUACUCUUAGUAAGUGCGACCGAAGAGAGUAAAGCUCAAUAAUCUAAACUUUAAAUUUUUAUAAUUUAAAGUCAUGUGAUUUUCUAAACUCAUUGAAAUUUUUAUAAAUUAUGAUUGAAUUCAUAACUAUAAAGAGUUAUAGUCUCGUUAUUUAAAAUUUCAAGCAUGGGAAUUAGAAUUAAAGAGUCGGGUAGCUUGAGAAUGCUGCCUUAAUAUAGGUGGUACACCCCAUCUAAAGCUAAAUAUUGUAAAGAGACCGAUAGCAUACAAGUAGUGUGAACGAAAGAUGAAAAGAACUCCUAAACGGAGAAUUAAAAGCGCCUGAACUUGUCUAGGUUUUCGCAUUUCUUUAAUGCGCCCGUCUUGUAACACGGAUUAGGGAGUUUUACUUAAAUACGAGUCUUUAACUUUUAAAGUAAUUUUUUUAAAAAAGGCGAAAAGAAAUUAACUGGUUUUUUAACAUGGCUAUAGAGUAUUUAAGUCAAAACCCGAAUGGAGGUGAACUAUUCCUGCAAAGAUUGAAGUCAGGGGAAACUCUGAUGGAAGAUCGUUGGCGUUAUUGAUGUGCAAAUCAUUUGCUUUAUGUAGGUAUAGGUGCGAAAGACUCAUCGAACCUCCUAAUAGCUGGUUUCCUCCGAAGUUUCCCUCAGGAUAGCUGUAACAUUUUUAAAUAGUUAAGGAUAGUAGAGAAAUGGGUAGAGGUGUAGUGGAACUACGGUUCUGCAACUUAUUUCCAAACUUCGAACGUUCUUGAUAUAAAAAAUUACCUAAUAGGAAUUUUUUAUUUAAAUAUAUGUUAUAAGUGGGCUCUGACCGGUAAGCGGUCAUGGCGAAAAGGGAUGAACCUAACGUAUAAAUAAGGUGCCUAAAUUUACUAACAAUGAAACCAUUAAAAGAGUCCAUGUAUUUAGACAGCGGGUCGGUGCCCCUAAAAGCAGGUAUCCGUUAAUGAGUGUGUUAAAACUCCCCCGCCGAAUACUCUGGCCUUGAAAAUGAAUGGCGCAUAUAGUAAUACCGAUAUUAUACAUUAAAAUUAUUUAAAAAUUUUAAAAGUAGGGGGAUGUGGAUAUCUUAGAGAAUUUUUAAUUGUAAAAUUGAAUUGAAAGAUAUCUAUUACAGAUCCUAAUUGAAGUAGCGAUUAUCCAGGUUAAUCUCCUGGGGGCUGAUGAGGAGUAGGGUUUCUGGGCAACUUAAACGGACCCAGAGUUAGUCGAUCCUAAUCAAAUUAAAUUUAGAGAAAGGGAAUAUGAAUGAUAUUUCAUAACUAAAAUUAAUUUUUAAAUGGUGACAUUUUUUUAAACUUAUUUCCAUCAAUUAAAUACUGUUUAAUAGGGAUUUCUUUCCUAUAUAACUUUUUAAUUAAAACUUAAGAAACAGGUUAACUGGAGAAUAAAGUUUUAAUUUAGUAAAAUUAUAAUUUCGAUUAUAAUAACGGCUAUUUAAAUGAUCCAUGAAACAAUAAGUUUAUUUUUUCAAAAAUUAAUUUAAUCGUACCGAUAACCGCAUCAGGUCUCCAAGGUGAGUAGCUUCUGGCCAUUGAGUAAUGGUAAUUUAGGGAAUUCGGCCAAUUAGAGCUGUAACUUCGGGAUAAAGCUUGGCUCUGAUGGAAAUCAGAACCGAUAGUUACAAGGAGAGCCCAACUGUUUAAUAAAAACUUAGUGUCGCGUCAUACCUUUAUAAGUAAUAAACGUGACAUGAAUCCUGCUCAGUGCUGUGUUUGUUAAACUGGAUUAAUCCAUUUAAGCGCCGGUAAAUAGCUGGGGUAACUAUGACUCUUAUCAAAGUAGCGAAAUACCUCGUCACUUAAUUAGUGACCUGCAUGAACGGAGCUAUGAGGUUCUCACUGUCCCAAAUUAUCACUCAGCGAACCAACAGUUGUGGGAACGGGCACAAAUUAUCCAGCGGGGAAAGAAGACCCUGUAGAGCUUCACUUUGGUCUAAUCUUGUAUAGUUUCGUUAGGGGUGCAGUCUAGGUGGGAGAUUUUUAAUCAAAUAUGAGAAACCACUACCCUUUCUGGAAUUAUACUUACUAAAAUUCUUUUCUAAAUUUUAGGAUCGGAUUAGAUAGAAAGUUUGGCUGGGGCGGCACACCUUCGAAAAAGCAGCGAAGGUGUCCUAAGUUAAGCUCAGUAAGGACAGAAAUCUUACGUUGAGGAUAAGGCCAAAAGCUUAAUUUACUGUGCCUUUUUGUACUAGGAUCAGUUUGGAAACAAAGGCCUAACGAUCCCUCAUUAGUCUUAGGUGUGUAAGCCUUGGGGUGACAGA